UUAUUAUUAUUAUUAUUAUAUUUUUUUUUUUUUGUGAGCAGGGAAAGCUUUGGUUUCUCCAAUUGAGAGAUAUGCAGUUGUUCCUGAUGACAACGUCAAAAGGAUAAAUUUUGCCGAGGGGAAGAUCUGAUUCUAGAAGUAAGGAAUUUGCAGCUUGAUUUUUGAAAUAGGCUCAAAAUUGAGAUCUUGUUGGAAAUUUUUUAAUUUUUGUAAGAGCAUUUAAAUAUCCAAUGUGCUGAUUGGUGAAUUUUAGAUUUUAUUUUAUUAUUUUAUUUUUUU